AAUCUUCCACAAUGGGCGAAAGCCUGAUGGAGCAACGCCCCGUGAGUGAAGAAGGCUUUCGGAUCGUAAAACUCUGUUGUAAGGGAAGAACAAGUACAGUAUUAACUGGCUGUACCUGGUCGGUACCUUAUUAGAAAGCCACGGCUAACUACGUGUCACCAGCCGCGGUAAUACGUAGGGGGCAAGCGUUGUCAGGAAUUAUUGGGCGUAAAGAGCGCGCAGGCGGUCCUUGAGGUAUGAUGUGAAAGCCAACGGCUCAACCGUGGAGGGUCAUUGGAAACUGGGGGACUUGAGUGCAGAAGAGGAAAGUGGAAUUCCAAGUGUAGCGGUGAAAUGCGUAGAGAUUUGGAGGAACACCAGUGGCGAAGGAGACUUUCUGGUCUGUAACUGACGCUGAGGCGCGAAAGCGUGGGGAGCAAACA
rnacentral:rRNA from 1 species